GAUGAACGCUGGCGGCGUGCCUAAUACAUGCAAGUCGAGCGAACAGACGAGGAGCUUGCUCCUCUGACGUUAGCGGCGGACGGGUGAGUAACACGUGGAUAACCUACCUAUAAGACUGGGAUAACUUCGGGAAACCGGAGCUAAUACCGGAUAAUAUAUUGAACCGCAUGGUUCAAUAGUUAAAGACGGUUUUGCUGUCACUUAUAGAUGGAUCCGCGCCGCAUUAGCUAGUUGGUAAGGUAACGGCUUACCAAGGCAACGAUGCGUAGCCGACCUGAGAGGGUGAUCGGCCACACUGGAACUGAGACACGGUCCAGACUCCUACGGGAGGCAGCAGUAGGGAAUCUUCCGCAAUGGGCGAAAGCCUGACGGAGCCACGCCGCGUGAGUGAUGAAGGUCUUCGGAUCGUAAAACUCUGUUAUUAGGGAAGAACAAAUGUGUAAGUAACUAUGCACGUCUUGACGGUACCUAAUCAGAAAGCCACGGCUAACUACGUG
rnacentral:rRNA from 1 species